CCCUUAGAUGUUCUGGGCUGCACACGCGCUACACUGAAGGGAUCAGCGUGUUCUUUUCCUGGUCCGAAAGGAUCGGGUAACCCGCUGAACCCCCUUCGUGGUAGGGAUCGGAGCUUGCAAUUAUUCUCCGUGAACCAGGAAUUCCCAGUAAGCGCAAGUCAUAAGCUUGCGUUGAUUACGUCCCUGCCCUCUGUACACACCGCCCGCCGCUACUACCGAUUGGACGUUUUAGUGAGGAUUUUGGACUGAGCCAAUGGUGGUUCACACCACUGUUGUGCAUGGAAAGAUCUCCAAACUUGAGCGUUUAGAGGAAGUAAAAGUCGUAACA
rnacentral:rRNA from 1 species